rnacentral:rRNA from 1 species
UACGUAGGGACCGAGCGUUGUCCGGAAUCAUUGGGCGUAAAGAGCGUGUAGGCGGCCUUUUAAGUCCUGCGUGAAAUCCUGCGGCUCAACCGCAGACGGUCGUGGGAAACUGGAAGGCUAGAGUGCGGGAGAGGAGAGUGGAAUUCCCGGUGUAGCGGUGAAAUGCGCAGAUAUCGAGAAGAACACCCGUGGCGAAGGCGGCUCUCUGGGACGGUACUGACGCUGAGACGCGAAAGCGUGGGGAGCGAACAGG